GUGCCAGCCGCCGCGGUAAGACAGAGGGUGCAAACGUUGUUCGGAAUUACUGGGCGUAAAGCGCGUGUAGGCGGCCCGAAAAGUUGGAUGUGAAAGCCCUGGGCUUAACCUAGGAAGUGCAUUCAAAACUGUCGGGCUUGAGUUCUGGAGAGGAAGGCGGAAUUCUCGGUGUAGAGGUGAAAUUCGUAGAUAUCGAGAGGAACACCGGUGGCGAAGGCGGCCUUCUGGACAGUGACUGACGCUGAGACGCGAAAGCGUGGGGAGCAAACAGGAUUAGAUACCCUCGUAGUCC
rnacentral:rRNA from 1 species